rnacentral:rRNA from 1 species
GGCGGCGUGCCUAAUACAUGCAAGUCGAGCGAACGGACGAGAAGCUUGCUUCUCUGAUGUUAGCGGCGGACGGGUGAGUAACACGUGGAUAACCUACCUAUAAGACUGGGAUAACUUCGGGAAACCGGAGCUAAUACCGGAUAAUAUUUUGAACCGCAUGGUUCAAAAGUGAAAGACGGUCUUGCUGUCACUUAUAGAUGGAUCCGCGCUGCAUUAGCUAGUUGGUAAGGUAACGGCUUACCAAGGCAACGAUGC